rnacentral:rRNA from 1 species
GACGAACGCUGGCGGCGUGCUUAACACAUGCAAGUCGAACGACGAAGCCCAGCUUGCUGGGUGGAUUAGUGGCGAACGGGUGAGUAACACGUGGGCAACCUGCCCCAAACUCUGGGAUAACUCCUCGAAAGAGGUGCUAAUACCGGAUACGAACUAGACAGACAUCUGUACUAGUUGGAAAGUUUUUCGGUUUGGGAUGGGCCCGCGGCCUAUCAGCUUGUUGGUGAGGUAACGGCUCACCAAGGCUACGACGGGUAACCGGCCUGAGAGGGCGACCGGUCACACUGGGACUGAGACACGGCCCAGACUCCUACGGGAGGCAGCAGUGGGGAAUAUUGCGCAAUGGGCGAGAGCCUGACGCAGCGACGCCGCGUGAGGGAUGAAGGUCUUCGGAUCGUAAACCUCUUUCAGUAGGGACGAAGCGAAAGUAACGGUACCUAAAGAAGAAGCACCGGCUAACUACGUGCCAGCAGCCGCAGUAA